GACGGUAUAGCUUAAGUGACAAAGCGCAUGCUUAGCAUGCACAAGGUCCUGGGUUCAAUCCCCAGUACCUUCU
rnacentral:tRNA from 1 species